GAAGGGCUUGACUGUCUCCUCUUUCAAGUCAAUGAAAUUGAUCUCCCCGUGCAGAAGCGGGGAUAGGCACAUAAGACGAGAAGACCCUAUGGAGCUUUAGACACUAAAGCAGAUCAGCAUUAAUACCCUGAACAUAGGGCACGAAUAUACUAAACCCUGCCCUAAUGUCUUAGGUUGGGGCGACCGCGGAGAAGUAAAAAACCCCCGCAAGGACUGAAUGUACUACAUUCA
rnacentral:rRNA from 1 species